UUGGCCCUGAAUCAAGGCUGACAGUUUGUUGUAGCUGCUGGUUUCAAGCAGGAGCACAGAUAGAUGCCUUCCUGUGGUCUCUUGGCUGUUCCAUAUUUUUAGGAUGGAACAGUCAAUUCAGUUGGAAGCAACAACC